UCCGAAUUGGUGUAGUGGCUAACAUUUGACGCUCUCAUGAUAAAAGAUCUUUGAUCACAAUCUUGAUGAUCCGUCAAGCCCGGGGUUCGAUUCCCCGAUUCGGAG